AUCAGCUCAGGAUGAACGCUGGCGGCGUGCUUAACACAUGCAAGUCGAGCGAAGCACUUAGGAAAGAUUCUUCGGAUGAUUUCCUAUUUGACUGAGCGGCGGACGGGUGAGUAACGCGUGGGUAACCUGCCUCAUACAGGGGGAUAACAGUUAGAAAUGACUGCUAAUACCGCAUAAGACCACAGCACCGCAUGGUGCAGGGGUAAAAACUCCGGUGGUAUGAGAUGGACCCGCG
rnacentral:rRNA from 1 species